rnacentral:rRNA from 1 species
UACGUAGGGGGCUAGCGUUGUCCGGAUUUAUUGGGCGUAAAGAGCGUGUAGGCGGCCAGGGAGGUCUGGUGUGAAAACUCGAGGCUUAACCUUGAGAUGUCAUCGGAAACCAUUUGGCUAGAGUCCGGAAGAGGAUAGUAGAAUUCUUGGUGUAGUGGUGAAAUACGUAGAUAUCAAGAGGAAUACCGGAGGCGAAGGCGGCUAUCUGGCCUAACACUGACACUCAGACCCGAAAGCGUGGGGAUCAAACAGG